rnacentral:rRNA from 1 species
UACAGAGGUGGCAAGCGUUGUUCGGAAUUACUGGGCGUAAAGGGCGCGUAGGCGGCCUUCUAAGUCAGACGUGAAAUCCCCCCGGCUUAACCUGGGAACUGCGUCUGAUACUGGGAGGCUUGAGUAUGGGAGAGGGAUGUAGAAUUCCAGGUGUAGCGGUGAAAUGCGUAGAUAUCUGGAGGAAUACCGGUGGCGAAGGCGGCAUCCUGGACCAUAACUGACGCUGAGGCGCGAAAGCUAGGGGAGCAAACGGG